AGCGGAUGAGAAGAGCUUGCUCUUCGAUUCAGCGGCGGACGGGUGAGUAAUGCCUAGGAAUCUGCCUGGUAGUGGGGGACAACGUUUCGAAAGGAACGCUAAUACCGCAUACGUCCUACGGGAGAAAGCAGGGGACCUUCGGGCCUUGCGCUAUCAGAUGAGCCUAGGUCGGAUUAGCUAGUUGGUGAGGUAAUGGCUCACCAAGGCUACGAUCCGUAACUGGUCUGAGAGGAUGAUCAGUCACACUGGAACUGAGACACGGUCCAGACUCCUACGGGAGGCAGCAGUGGGGAAUAUUGGACAAUGGGCGAAAGCCUGAUCCAGCCAUGCCGCGUGUGUGAAGAAGGUCUUCGGAUUGUAAAGCACUUUAAGUUGGGAGGAAGGGCAGUAAGCUAAUACCUUGCUGUUUUGACGUUACCGACAGAAUAAGCACCGGCUAACUCUGUGCCAGCAGCCGCGGUAAUACAGAGGGUGCAAGCGUUAAUCGGAAUUACUGGGCGUAAAGCGCGCGUAGGUGGUUUGUUAAGUUGGAUGUGA
rnacentral:rRNA from 1 species